rnacentral:lncRNA from 1 species
AUUCUCCUGCUUCAGCCUCCCGAGUAGCUGGGACUAUAGGCCCGGCCACCACAACCAGCUAAUUUUUUUUUUUUUUUUUUUUUUUUUUUUAGUAGAGACGGGGUUUCACCAUGUUAGUCAGGAUGGUCUCUAUCUCCUGACCUCGCGAUCCGCCCGCUUCGGCCUCCCAAAGUGCUGGGAUUACAGGUGUGAGCCACUGUGCCCGGCUGAAAGCCUGAUAUAUCUUUCUACCAUAGCAAGAACUAGCAGCACCUUACCCAGUAUGAGACCGACCCAGGUCUGCCUUAAUAUAUAUACCGUAAUAUAUACCUAACAGUUUUUUUUUUUUUUUUGAGAGGGAGUCUCGCUCUGUCGCCCAGGCUGGAGUGCAGUAUCGCGAUAUCGGUUCGCUGCAAGCUCCGCCUCCCGGGGUCACGUCAUUCUCCUGCCUCAGCUUCCGGAGCAGCUGGGACUGCUGGCGCCCGCCACUACGCUCGGCUAAUUUUUUUGUGUUUUUAGUAGAGACGGGCUUUCACCGUGUUGGCCUAGCGGUUCUCCAACUCCUGACCUCAUGAUCCCCCCGCCUCAGCCUCCCAAAGUGCUGGGAUUACAAGCGUGAGCCACCGCGACCCGCCAACACUCUUGACAACAGUGCUGUGCUAAGAACUUGGGGGACUUCAAAAAGUUCACCAGUUCCUGUGUCCAUGGGUGAAAAGAUUUUCUACAUCUUUCCUUGACUAGAAACAGAAGUCCUGAAACAAGAAUAUAACGUCAGGAGGCCAGAGGCUUUGUCCUGCCUAAUGUGUUAUUUCCACACUGAAUAAAAGCACCUGAGUCCUGGUUCUGGAGAUUGGGGCAUGAUAUCUUCCUUGGGCCAUUACUUGUCCUGCCACUUGGAAUAGGUGCUUAUAAGCCACCUCUAAGAUAAUGAAUAACUUGCAAUUUGAUCCGUGAUUUACAUAACGUGUAUGUUUUUCCUGUUUGCAAAGGCAUAUGGCAAGGGAGUAAAGCCAAACUUUUUACCACAUGGCAAAAAUAAUUGUAUUUUGCAACAGACUAAAAGCUUAAUGCUAUACAGACUUUGGGUUGGUGGAGUUACUUGAGGAUUUACUCCAGCAAAACAAAAAAAAGAAUGAAAGAAAGAGAAAGAUAAAAAUAUGAAAGAAGCAACAGACCUAUUCCAGAAAUGUAAUGAAAAAAGGCCACGAAGUUUGACAACUAUGUAUUAAAUUUACAAUCAGUCCAAAUUAGACUGGUAGUCAGAUUGAUAUGAGAAGUACAUUUUCAAAAAGAUGUACUAUACCAAAUAAUAUGAGUGCAAAACUCUGGAUGAUUUUAGUAAUAAUGUGAAGACACAUAUUUCUUUUGACAAUUAAAAAAAAGAAAAUGAAUUGGAAACUUCAGGAAACGUCAGAAAAUACAAAAUGCUCUGUAGGAAGUAAUUGUCUAAAUGAGAGGUGAAGCCAGUGGGACUUCCUGGAUUGGAUGGGGACUUGGAGAACUUUUCUGUCUAGCUAAAGGAUUGUAAACACACCAAUCAGUGCUCUGUGUCUAGCUAAAGGAUCGCAAAUGCACCAAUCAGCACUCUGUAAAAAUUCUGUGUCUAGCUAAAGGUUUGUAAAUGCACCAAUCAGCAAUCUGUUAGAAUGCACCAAUCAGUGCUCUGUGUCUAGCUAAAGGUUUGUAGAUGCACCAAUCAGCACUCUGUAAAAACGCAUCAAUCAGCGUUCUGUGUCUAGCUAAAGGUUUGUAGACACAUCAAUCAGCACUCAGUAAAAACGCACCAAUCAGCACUCUGUAAAAUGGACCAGUCAGCGCUCUGUAAAAUGGACCAAUCAGCAGGAUGUGGGCGGAGCCAAUAAGGGAAUAAAAGCUGGCCACCAGAGCCAGCCAGUGGCAACCUGCUUGGGUCCCCUUCCACCCUGUGGAAGCUUUAUUCUUUUGCCCUUCACAAUAAAUCUUGCUGCUGCUUACUCUUUGGGUCUACAUUACCUUUAUGAGCUGUAUCGCUCACCAUGAGGGUCUGCGGCUUCACUCCUGAGGUCAGCGAGACCACGAACCCACUGGGAGGAACAAACAACUCCAGAAGCACAACCUUUAAGAGCUGUAACACUCACUGUGAAGGUCUGUGGCUUCACUCCUGAAGUCAGCGAGACCACGAACCCACCAGAAGGAAGAAACUCCGGACACAUCUGAAAUCUGAAGAAACAAACUCUGGACACACCAUCUUUAAGAACUGUAACACUCACUGCGAGGGUCCCCGACUUCAUUCUUAAAGUCAGUGAGACCAAGAACCCACUGGAAGGAACCAAUUCUGGGCACAUAAAUAUGCAGCAAAAUACAAUAUGGUAUGAUUUUGAGCAAUUGAUGAAUAUGUAGAAAAAUUAUUCAAUCCUGAUGUUUGAAAUAUGCUACUUUGAGUAGCAGCCUUGUAGUGACCUAAAUGUAUUUCUGUAGAUAAAAUUGAACUAUGUGGUACUAUAGUGAAUAAUGUGUGUUACAAUAUAAUAGCAUGCACAAUUGUAUAUAUGAAGUUUAGAACACUUCUACAUUUUAAUAUCUGUAAUAUGAUUAUACUCAUAUAUGUGUACUCAGAUUUUAAAACAUAAUAAAAUAUAAAUGUUAUUAUUGUCUUUCUAGGAAGAUGGUGAGGUUUUUUUUUUUUUUUUUUUUUUCAGUCUCACUCCGUCACCCAGACUGGAGUGCGGUGGCAUGAUCUCAGCUCAAUGCAACCUCUGCCUCCUGCGUUCAAGUGAGUCUCAUGCCUCACCCUCCCUAUUAGCUGGGAUUACAGGUGUGUACCACGACACCCGUCUAAUUUUUUGGUAUUUUUAGUAGAGACGGGGUUUCACCAUGUUGGUCAGGCUGGUUUCAAACUCCUGGCCUCAUGUGAUCCAUCCAUCUUGGCCUCCCAAAGUGCUGGGAUUACAGGCAGGGGCCACCGCAUCUGGCCGAUUGUGAG